rnacentral:rRNA from 1 species
AGUGAACGCUGGCGGUAGGCCUAACACAUGCAAGUCGAACGGCAGCACAGUAAGAGCUUGCUCUUACGGGUGGCGAGUGGCGGACGGGUGAGGAAUACAUCGGAAUCUACUUUUUCGUGGGGGAUAACGUAGGGAAACUUACGCUAAUACCGCAUACGACCUACGGGUGAAAGCAGGGGAUCUUCGGACCUUGCGCGAUUGAAUGAGCCGAUGUCGGAUUAGCUAGUUGGCGGGGUAAAGGCCCACCAAGGCGACGAUCCGUAGCUGGUCUGAGAGGAUGAUCAGCCACACUGGAACUGGAACACGGUCCAGACUCCUACGGGAGGCAGCAGUGGGGAAUAGUGGACAAUGGGCGCAAGCCUGAUCCAGCCAUACCGCGUGGGUGAAGAAGGCCCUCGGGUUGUAAAGCCCUUUUGUUGGGAAAGAAAAGCAUCAGGUUAAUACCCCGCUGUUCUGACGGUACCCAAAGAAUAAGCACCGGCUAACUUCGUG